GACGAACGCUGGCGGCGUGCUUAACACGUGCAAGUCGAACGGAAAGGCCCUGCUUUUGUGGGGUGCUCGAGUGGCGAACGGGUGAGUAACACGUGAGUAACCUGCCCUUGACUUUGGGAUAACUUCAGGAAACUGGGGCUAAUACCGGAUAGGAGCUCCUGCUGCAUGGUGGGGGUUGGAAAGUUUCGGCGGUUGGGGAUGGACUCGCGGCUUAUCAGCUUGUUGGUGGGGUAGUGGCUUACCAAGGCUUUGACGGGUAGCCGGCCUGAGAGGGUGACCGGACACAUUGGGACUGAGAUACGGCCCAGACUCGUACGGGAGGCAGCAGUGGGGAAUAUUGCACAAUGGGCGGAAGCCUGAUGAAGCAACGCCGCGUGCGGGAUGACGGCCUUCGGGUUGUAAACCGCUUUCGCCUGUGACGAAGCGUGAGUGACGGUAAUGGGUAAAGAAGCACCGGCUAACUACGUG
rnacentral:rRNA from 1 species